rnacentral:rRNA from 1 species
UACGAAGGUGGCAAGCGUUACUCGGAAUUACUAGGCGUAAAGGGCAGGUAGGUGGUUUGGUUAGUCUGUUGUGAAAGCUCCUUGCUUAACGGGGAGAGGCCAACAGAUACUGCCAGACUUGAGUAUAGGAGGGGGUACUGGAAUUCCCGGUGUAGCGGUGAAAUGCGCAGAGAUCGGGAGGAACACCAAUGGCGAAAGCAGGUACCUGGACUAUUACUGACACUAAGCUGCGAAAGCUAGGGGAGCAAACAGG